rnacentral:lncRNA from 1 species
UCUUCUUUACUCCUUCAACUGCCCAAACAAAAUGCAAUAUUAAUUCAGUGUACCAACUCGGCGAUUCUCUCGCCGACGCCGGUAAUGUCAUCCGUACACCCGGCGCCUCCAUCAUUUUCCGUGCGGACCGCUCUCCUUACGGCUCUACUUUCUUCAACAGACCCACUGGCCGUUUCUCAAACGGCCGUGUCAUUAUCGACUUUAUUACCCAAUCUUUCAAACUCCCUUUCCUCAAUGCUUACUUGGACAGGGGUGCUGCUUUCACACAAGGCGUUAAUUUCGCUGUCGCUGGUGGUACGGCCCUCAACACUUCCUUCUGGACUGCCCGAAACAUUCGGUUGCCCACUUGGAACACCCCGCUCGCAAACCAAUUAGGUUGGUUCAAAACUCAUCUUCAGUCCACCUGUGGCUCCAGAUGUGCAGACUCUCUCAAAAACUCUCUGAUAGUAAUGGGGGAAUGGGGUGGAAACGAUUACUACAAUGGGUUUUUCCAGAACAAGCAGAUCUCAGAAGUUAGGACAUACGUUCCUAACGUUGUCGCUGGGAUUAUGAGAGGCAUCAAAGAUGUGAUUCAGCUCGGAGCCACGCGCUUUUUGGUUCCAGGAAUUUACCCACUCGGGUGCUUGCCGCUUUAUCUCACAUCAUUUCCUGACAAUAAUACAGGCGCGUACGAUCAAAUGGGUUGCUUGAGGAACUACAACGAGUUCGCUUCGUAUCAUAAUAGAUAC